AAGAACAAAAACACAACAAAUUAAUGUUGGAUUAGAAAUUCUGAAAUUCCAAGGAGAGAUUAAUAAAAUGGAAACUUAGGGAACGAUUAAACUAAUAAAACUAGGAGAUAAUUUUAUGAAAAAAACCAACAAAAUAAAUAUACUUUCUGUUAAUUUGAUCAGAAAAAGGAAAGCAAAAAAAAAAAAAAAAACAUAUAACCAGCAUCAUAAAUAAAGGGGGGAACUUACCAUCAUGACAACAAAAGUAAAGCAAUAAUAAAGAGCCAUUUUGCCCAACUAUCGAUAACAGUCUGAAGAACUGUCUUAAGUGGAUGAUAUUGAGAAAAAUACAAAUUGCCAACAAUAACAGAAGGGGAAGUUAAUUACUUAAAUAUUCCCAUAUUAGAAAAUAGAACAAACCAGUUUUUAGAAAAAAAUCUCCAGGGCCAGAUGGAUUCAUAAGUGAAGUCUACCAAACAUUUAAAGAACAAUUAAUUCAAAUACUUUGUAAAUUCUUUGGAAAAUGGGCCAAGAAGGAAUACUGCCAAAUUCCUUCUAUGACUAAUUACCUAAAGCGGGAGUAACCACAAAAGAGAAAAAAAUUACAGACCAAUCUCCUUAAUGCAUAUUAAUGGGAAAAUCUUACAUAAAAUAUUAGUAAGAGAUUACAGCAAAGAAGGUGGAAACUGAGUGGACUCCAUCAGUUAGAAAAUGACUAAGUUAUGAUAUAUGAAUGUUAUGGAAUUUUAUUUUUCUAUAAGAAAUGAUCAGUAGAAUGAUUUUAGAACGGCCUGGAGAGACUUGCACGGAUUGAUGCUAAGUGAAAUGAGCAGAACCAGGAGAUCAUUGUACAUGGCAACAUCAAUAUUAUAUGAAGAUCAAUUCUGAUGAACGUGUCUCUUUCCAACAAUUAGAUAAUUGAUGCCAGUCCCAAUAUGCUGAAGAGAGCCAUCUACACCCAGAAAGAGGACUGUGGGAUUUGAAUGUGGAUCGCAAUAUAACAUUCUCACUCUUUUUGUAGUUUGUUUGCAUUUUGUUUUCUUAAUAAUUUACUUUCUUUUUUUAUCUAAUAUCUCCUAUGCAGCAAGAGAAUUGUAUAAAUAUGUAUAUGUAUAUUGGAUUUAAUAUAUAUUUUAAUGUGGUUAACAUAUAUAUAACAAAAUUACUUGCCAUCUAGAGGAGGUUGUUGGGGGGAAGGAGGAGAAAAUCUGAAACACAAGGCUAUGCAAGGGUCAAUGUGGUCAAAUUAUCUGUGCAUAUAUUUUGAAAAUAAAAACCUUUAUUUUAAAGAAAGAGACUGCAGCAACUUUUUCCCAGAAUAAUACACCAUGAGCAAGCGGGAUUUAUAUCAGGAAUAUAGGGCUUGAUCAAUCUCAAGAAAAUUAUUGGUAUAAUUGACUCUUAUCAAUAACAAAAUCAAUAGAAAUCAUAGGAUAAUCACAACAGAUGCAGAAAAAGCUUUUGACAAAAUACAGCAGCCAUUCCUAUGAAGAACACCAACUAGCAUAGGCUUCAAGGAACUUUCCUUCAAAUAAUAAGCCAUAUCUGUCUAAAACAGCAAGCAUUAUUUGAGAGAAUGCUCUGGGUGCAUUCCUAAUAAGAUCGGAGGUGAAACAAGGAUUCCCAUUACCACCACUCUUAUUCAGCAAUGUAGAAGAAAUGUUGGCUUGAGCAAGAGGAAAAGAAAAAGAAAUGAAAGGAAUUAAAACAGGCAAUGAGGAAAUCAAACUAUCAUUCUUUGCAGAUGAGAUGAUGACAUAGCCUAAAAAUCCUAGAGAAUCCUAGAAAGCCAUCCAAAAAACUCCUGAAAACAAGAGCUUGAGCAAACUUGCAGGAUAUAAAAUAAACCCACCUAAAUCAUCAGCAUUUCUAUUUGUUAUUAACAAAAUCCAUCAGCAUGAUAUAACGAGAAAUCACUUGUAAAAUAAUAUAGACCAAAUCAAAUACUUGGGGUCUAACUAUCAAGACAAGCCCGAGAACUAUGAGAACACAAAUACAAAUCCCUUCUCAUAGGGAGAAGGUUGGAUCUAAACAAUGGGGAUAAUAUCAAUUGCACAUGGAUAGGCUGAGUUAAGAUUAGAAAAAUGACAAUUCUGUCUAACUCAGUCUAUGACUUCAGUGCCAUAAAAAUGAAUUGGGCCAAAAUGUAUUUUAAAUAAGUAGAAAAAAUAAUCACAAAGUUGAUAUGGAAGAGCAAAAGGUCAAGAAUAUCAAAAGAAUUAAUGAGGAAAAAAGUACAAAGAAUUACUGGCUUACAUUCUCCAAUUGAUAAAUGGUCAAAGGAUAUGAACAGACAAUUUUCAGAUGAAGAAAUGGAAACAAUUUCUACUCAUAUGAAACGGUGCUAUAAAUCAAUACCACUACACACCCAUCAGAUUGUCCAAGAUACCAGAAAAAGAUAAUGAUGAAUAUUGGACGGAAUGUGGGAAAACUGGGACACUAAUACAUUGCUGGUGGAAUUUUGAACUGAAUCAACCAUUCUGAAGAGCAAUUUGGAACUAUGCCCACAGGGUUGUCAAAACAUGUAUACCCUUUUAUCCAGCAGUGUUUCUGCUAGGUCUGUAUCCCAAAGAGAUCAUAAAAGAUAGAAAGGGACCCACAUGUCCAAAAACGUUUGUGACAGCCCUAUUUGUAGGGGCAAGAACCUGGAAACUGAGUAGAUGCCCAUCAGUUGGAGGGUGGCUGAAUAAGUGAUGGUAUAUAAAUGUUAUGGAACAUUAGUGUUCUAUGAGAAACGAUCAGUACAAUGAUUUCGGGGAGGCCUGGAGAGACUUACAGGAAUUGAUCCUGAAUGAAAUGAACAGAACUGAUAAAGGUCUCAUUUCCAAAAUAUAGAGAAUUGACUCUAAUGUAUAAGAAAUUAAGCCAUUCUCCACUUGAUAAAUGUUCAGAGGACAUGAACAGACAAUUCUCAGCGGAAGAAAUUGAAACUGUUUCUAGCCAUAUGAAAAGAUGCUCCAAGUCAUUAUUAAUCAGAGAAAUGCAAAUUAAGACAACUCUGAGAUACCACUACACACUUGUCAGAUUGGCUAGAAUGACAGGGAAAGAUAAUGCGGAAUGUUGGAAGGGAUGUGGGAAAACUGGGACACUGAUCCAUUGUUGGUGGAAUUGUGAAUGAAUCCAAGCAUUCUGGAGAACGAUUUGAAACUAUGCUCAAAAAGUUAUCAAACUGUGCAUACCUUUUGAUCCAGCAAUGUUUCUACUGGGCUUAUAUCCCAAAGAGAUCUUAAAGAAGGGAAAGGGACCUGUGUGUGCAAAAAUGUUUGUGGCAGCCCUGUUUGUAGUGGCCAGAAACUGGAAACUGAGUGGAUACCCCUCAGUUGGAGAAUGGCUGAGUAAAUUGUGGAAUAUGAAUGUUCUGGAAUAUUAUUGUUCUGUAAGAAAGGACCAGCAGGAUGAUUUCAGAAAGGCCUGGAGAGAUUUACAUGAACUGAUGCUGAGUGAAAUGAGCAGGACCAGGAGAUCGUUAUAUACUUCAACAACAAUAUUAUAUGAUGAUCAAUUCUGAUGGACGUGCCUCUCUUCAAUAAUGAGAUGAACCAAAUCAGUUCCAAUAGAGCAGUAAUGAAUAGAACCAGCUAUACCCAGCUUAAGAACUCUGGGAUAUGAGUGUGAACCACUACAUAGAAUUCCCAAUCCCUCUAUUUUAGUCUGCCUGCAUUUUUGAUUUCCUUCCCAGGUAAAUUGUAUAUUAUUUGAAAGUCCAAUUCUUCUUGUGCAGCAAAAUAACUGUAUGGACAUAUAUACAUAUAUUGUUAUUUAACAUAUACUUUAACAUAUUUAACAUUUAUUGAUAUACCUGCCAUCUGGGGGAGGGGGUGGGGGGAAGAAGGGGAAAAAUUGAGCAAAAGAUUUUGCAGUUGUCAAUGCUAAAAAAUUACCCACGCAUAUAUCUUAUAAAUAAAAAGCUCUAAUAAUAAAAAAAAAAAACUUGCAAAUAAAAAAAAAAAAAAAAAGAAAGAAAAGAAAUGAGCAGAACCAGGAGAUCAUUGCACAUGGCAACAGCAAGAUUAUACAAUGAUCAACUCUGAUGGUCCUGGCUGUUUCCAAGAAUGAGAUGAUUCAGAAUAGUUUCUAUGAUCCUGUGAUAAAGAGAGCCUUCUAUACACAGAGAGAGGGCACUAGGAACUGAGAGUGGAUCACAACAUAGCAUCUCCACUCCUUUUGUUGUUGUUUGCUUGCAUUUUGUUUUCUUUCUUAUUUUUUUUUCCUUUUGAUCUGAUUUUUCUUAUGCAGCAUGAUAAUUAUAUAAAUAUGUAUACAUACACUGAAUUUAGCAUAUUUUAUCAUGAUUAGCAUAUAUUGAAUCAUUUGCCAUCUAAGGGAGGGAGUGGGGACAAUGGGAGUAAAAUCUGGAACACAAGGUUUUGUAAAGGUUAAUGGUGAAAAAUUAUCCAUUUCUAUGUUUUGAAAACAAAAAGCUUAAGUAAAAAAGAAGGAAAAUAAAAAAGGAUGGGGGCUUAGCAUUCCCAAAUCUAAAAGUAUAAUAUAAGCAGCAGUUCUCAAAACCAUUUGCUCUUAGCUAACAGAGUGGUGGAUCAGAGGAAUAGAUUCCAGUCAUCAAGGCCUAUAGUUAUAUACUAUUUGAUAAAGCCCCAAACUGCAGCUUCUGGUAUAAAAACUCACUAUUUGAUAAUAAAUCUCAGGGAAAAGUGGAAAAUCACAUCUCAGAAACUGGGCUUCGACCCAUGGGAUGUGCACCUCAAACCCCAUGCCAAAAUCUGGUCAAAAUGGAAAAGAUCUCCACUGAAACCAGAAGUGGUUCGAGAGCCCUGCCCUGGGGCUCUGAGAAAAGUCUAUCUCAGGAGGCAGGCUUCCUAGGAGCAAGUGUUCCAAGAGAGAGCUGUGGGGAGGAGUGGUCCUCAGCACCAUCAGGCUUUCCUUGGGUACAUAUUGUCCAGGCUGACAAACCGGCCUAAUGAUUGCUGCCAGCUUGUGUCCAGGGAGGACGCAGGUUGGACACAGGGAGUGGAGGCUAUUCUUUCCCAAGGGAGCAGCUUGUUGCAGGUCAAAGAGAACUGGAUGCUGUCUUGCCUGUGGGAGUAGAACUUGGCUAGAGGGAGUUGAAAGCCCCCAGGGGGGAAAAGAUGAUGUGCCCUCUCCUUAUUUAGCAUGGGGCUGUCCCUGGGAACUCUGAGAAGGUGUCUAAGAGUUGGGGAGCUUGGAGAGCAGGACUGUCGUGCCUAAGGACUUGGCCCCACUCUCCCAACAGCAGAAGCCUGUGCCAACAGGCCAAAUACUCCGUCUUCCCCAGACAAGGUCGGGUUGCCUCUCUAUGGGAAAGGAUCCCCAAAUUCUCAAGAGAACAGUUCAAUCUGUCCACUAAAAAAAGUGUGCAGGUUGCAGAGAGUUAGCUCCACUGAACACCAGAAGCCUGUGCCAAUGUGCCAAGUCCACCAUCUUCUAAAGGCAAAGUUUGGUUGCCCCUCUAUGGGAAAAGGGACCCCCUAAUUCUCAAGCUAACAUUCCAGUUCCACUAAAAAAAAAAAACUUAAUGUGAGGGUUGCAACAGAGUUGGCUACAAUUGAACACCAGAACUCUGUGGCAAUAGGCCAAGUUCACCGUUUUCCCAAGGCAAAGUUGGGUUGCCCCUCUGUAGGAAAUGGACCCCCCUGGAUUCUAAAGAGAACAGUCCAAUGUGUCCACUAAAAAAACUGAAUGUGAGGGAUGCACACAAUUGGCUCUACUGAACACAGGAAGUCUCUCCCAAAUGGCCGAGUCUGCUGUUUUCCCAAGGCAAAGGUCGACUUGCACCUUUAUGGGAGAAAGCCCCCCCCCCCAUAUAGAAAUGCACAUUCCAACCCAAAUGACCUAAAAAGAAUAUGUUCCCUGUACAAAAUUGUCUCCCCUUCCCAGAAGAAGUCUGUGCCAACAGGUCAAGGCAGUCCUCAUCCUAAAUUGAAGUCUAGAUGCCCCUUUUAAAGAGAAAUACCCUACAAAUUCACCAGCCCACACACUAACCCAACUGACAUCCAAAGCUGAAUAUAUACCCUUAACAGAGUAGACUCUCCUGUGCAACUGCAGCCUCUGCCAAUGGGCCAAGGCGGUCCUCUUCCCCAGUCAAGGUUGGAUUGCACCUUUAUGGGAGAAAGACCCCACAAAUUCAUCAACACACAUUCCAACCCAACUGACCCAAAAAUGUGUACCCUGCACAGAACUGUCUCCACUACCCAGCAGAAGCUUUUGCCAACUGGCCAAGGCUGCCAUCUUCCCCAGUCGAGAUAGAGUUACUCCUUUGUGGGAGAAAGACCCCUUAAAUACACUGCAUCACAAUCCAACCCAGCUGACCCAAAAAAAAUAUGUGCCCUGCACAGAACUGUCUCUCCUGCCCAGAAGAAGCUUCUGCCAAUGGGCCAAGGCAGUCCUCAUCCUCAGUCGAGGCCAAGUUGCCCCUUAAGAUAAAGGCCUCCAAAUACAUCAACCCCCUCAGCCCCAAGGCUGAACGUGUGCCCAGCACAGACUUAGUCCCACUGCCUGGCAGAAACCUCUGCCAAUGGGACAAGGAGCUCCUCUGCCCUAGUCGACAUCAUUGCAUUGAGCCAUCUUUGGAAAAAGACCUUCCAAACACACCGACCUACCUCCCCCUCCAGGCUGAAUGUGUGCCCUCUGCAGACUUGGCUCUAUCACCUGAUAGAAGCCUCCACCAAGGCGCCAAACCAGGGAAUAGAUGUCCCACAUAACCCUCCCAUAAAGCCAGUAGCCAGGCUGGUCUGGGAAGUCCCUACCCCUAGAAGAGGCUGGUCUCUACACUGACUGACCAACCCUGCCAUGAGGGGAUAAACAGGCAGCCACCCCACCCCUGUCAGCCUAUCUCUGCAGUAUCUGCCUGCCAUAGGCUUUAGGGACUCCAGCAAAAGGCCCCAAGAAGAAGAGGCUCAGCCACCCUUACAAAGAAAAAUUGGCAACACUAGUCUACCCUGUUCACCAGAUGGAUGAAGAUAUGUAAAUUGAGAAUCAAGAACUGCCCAUCUUGGUCCUCAGAUCUCUGGCUCACUGGAUGCCCUAAACAGGAAAGUUGUGUCUGUCCUGUUUGGACAGUGUCUUAAAAAUUAAAAAUUGAAUAAAAUUUUAAA
rnacentral:lncRNA from 1 species